AAAAUUUUAUUGCUAUAAUUUUUCUGAAUUUCGGAACGUAUUUAAUAAAUUCUGUUUUAUCUAUGGUAUGGAUAUUUACUUUGCAAUAAUUUUCAUGACAUGAGACUACAUUUUGCUGCAAUUACAAGCGAUUUGAUCUGGUUUUGUUAUAAUUUCGUUUCAAUUUUAUGCGAAUAGGUACUGAGUUUAUAAAAGUAACAUAAUAUUGUCUUGUACUUAUAUAAUUAGUUUUUGUGUAUUUCGGAUUCCGUUUACAUCUAGGUACCUACUAUGUCGGGGUCCUACGAGAAAGCUGGCGUAUCAACGCCACGAAUAUUCAGGCGCCCGUAAAUCGUCAAAACGAGUGAAAAGCGCAUUCAGUUGGAUACAUGUGGACGACAAGAUAGUAAGCUUGUAUGUAAAUUAUAACUCAAGUUGUGGCCAGCUUCAUUGUAAACAAACUUUAGUUUUCAAGUUCAAGGACAAAUGCGUGUCAGUAACAUGGAUAAAUGCUACUUCAUAUGUUUUAUUUCAGUCAAUGAACCUUUGACUGUUAUAGAAGUUUGUCGAGAUAAUAUAAUGACUUUAUCAGCAAUAUGAUGCCAAAGUUAAUACACUUUUUUAAAGAAUGUAUUCUGCCAGAAAUAGUUUUGAGACAUGUUCAAAAAACUGCGAAAUGUAUACCUAGGUAUGAAAGCAGCUGUGUAGCGGU